GAGCACUGCUGAUAACCUGUUAACCUGGCUAAAUAGCUAAUGGGUUCCAUUCCUGUGCUACAGUACAUUCCAAUGACACAUGACAGACUGAUGGCUUUCAGUUUCAGCUCUUAGAGACAAAA